rnacentral:lncRNA from 1 species
AUGGGAGACACUGCAGUGGAUGGAGAAAGGGAUUCCUGGGAGGGGAGAGGGGACACUGUUGCCAAAAAGUCUCCAGUGACCCCUAGGAUUGGAAAUGGAAGACCACCCAGCCCCAGGGAGGGGGACUCUCAGGCAAGGGAUAGGACACUGAGGUCCAGUCAUGCUCCGGUUUGCAAAGGGGGAGAAGGGCGUGUUUGCAGGUGGUACUGGGAGGAUGAGAUGGGGAAAGCGAGGUCCAGCGAGGAGGGAACAGGUGAAAUGAGUGGUGAGCCCGGCCCCACCAGAUGGCCUUGGGGCGAGGACAAGCCUGCUGCUUUUUCUGGUCCUGGUGUCCUGUCCUGGUCUCAGAGAGAACCCCGAUCCUACAGAGCCAGAAGGAGGGUGAGAGAGCCAGCCUGCCCAAACUACCUGGCUGAGCCUCUGCAGUCCUUGCCAGGAGAAGAUUUACAGCUGCCAGGAGCUCGGGAAGGUUAUGGAGGAAAGGCCUGGUGCAGUACCCAGGGAGCCUGCAGUGCCUGCCAUGGACUUGGCAACCCCGAGCUCUGCAGACCCUCUCAGUGGCAGGCCCUGCAUGUGAAGGUGGGUGAUCCGCAGACCCGAGCUCCCAUACAGCUGCACAGACCCUGGGCAGAGUGCCGAGCCGAGGCCUGGCUGGCUCCUGCUACUGUGGCUAUGAGCAUUAUUAAUUAAUGCAGUCGGGUGGGAUUUAUGGCGUUUGGGUGCCCCAAGGCUUUUCUAGCAGCAGUGGGAUGGUCUCAAAUCGCCAGUAACAACAACCACCCUCCACUGAGCAGGUCUCCUAUGCCAGCCCCAUGGCAAGCACUGUACCUAUGCACACUUCAGUCUUGAAUCGGCCCAGCCGCUGCAAACCUUGUGGAAAGGCUAUUAUUCUUCUCACUUUACAGUGGCUCAGAGAGGCCAAAAAGACCGUGUGAGGUUGCUGGGGAUAUAGAUCAGUGGUAGUGCGCUUGCCUAGUGUUUGUUCAAUUCCUAGCACAGAAAAGAAUAAGACUUAAAAAAUAAAAACAAACACAAAAACCUGCACAAAACUAAGGCCAGUGGUCAGCGGGUGGAGACUUGGGCCUGGUACUCCCAGUUCUGGAGUUCCAGCAUCAGCCUCGGCUGCCCCCUCAGUCCUCCCACAGAGGGGUGGCCACCUGGCUCAGAGACAGCCUCCGCAAGGUGGAAAUGGAGGAAUUAUUGUUCUGUUCAAACUUUUUAAAUCACAAGCAUAGCUGGGGAGAUAGCUCAGCGGCACAAGUGCCUGCCUGGCAAGUGCAAGGUCCUGAGUUUGAUUCCUGGUACCCCCCCC